rnacentral:rRNA from 1 species
AAUNGGAAUCACUGGGNGUAAAGCNCANGUNGNCGGCUUGGUAAGUCAGGGGUGAAAUNCACAGCCCANCUGUGGAACUGCNUUUGAUACUNCCNGGCNUGAGUACCGGAGAGGGUGGCGGAAUUUCCAGGUGUAGGAGUGAAAUCCGUAGAUAUCUGGAGGAACACCGGUGGCGAAGGCGGCCACCUGGACGGUAACUGACGCUGAGGUGUGAAAGCGUGGGUAGCAAACAGGAUUAGAUACCCUGGUAGUCCACGCUGUAAACGAUGGGUGCUGGGUGCUGGGAUGUAUGUCUCGGUGCCGUAGCUAACGCGAUAAGCACCCCGCCUGGGGAGUACGGUCGCAAGGCUGAAACUCAAAGAAAUUGACGGGGGCCCGCACAAGCGGUGGAGUAUGUGGUUUAAUUCGAUGCAACGCGAAGAACCUUACCCAGGCUUGACAUCUAGGGAACCCUUCGGAAAUGAAGGGGUGCCCUUCGGGGAGCCCUAAGACAGGUGCUGCAUAGCUGUCGUCAGCUCGUGCCGUGAGGUGUUGGGUUAAGUCCCGCAACGAGCGCAACCCCUAUCUUCAGUUGCCAGCAGGUAAGGCUGGGCACUUUGGAGAGACCGCCCCGGUCAACGGGGAGGAAGGUGGGGACGGCGUCAAGUCAUCAUGGCCCUUACGCCUGGGGCUACACACGUACUACAAUGGCGCGCACAAAGGGUAGCGAGACCGCGAGGUGGAGCCAAUCCCAAAAAACGCGUCCCAGUCCGGAUUGGAGUCUGCAACUCGACUCCAUGAAGUCGGAAUCGCUAGUAAUUCGAGAUAGCAUGCUCGGGUGAAUGCGUUCCCGGGCCUUGUACACACCGCCCGUCACACCACGAAAGUCGGUUUUACCCGAAGCCGGUGAGCUAACUCGCAAGAGAAGCAGCCGUCUACGGUAGGGCCGAUGAUUGGGGUGAAGUCGUAACAAGGUAGCAAUCACUAGUGAAUUCGCGGCCGCCUGCAGGUCGACCAUAUGGGAGAGCUCCNA